CCUUCUUAACUGCAUAACGGAAGAUACUAGGAUAGGUUUGGUUUCUGUGGUGUAGUCAAUUUUACUAGCAAGAGGUCAUUUCUGCAUGAAUGACUGGUUGAAGGACAGCAUCAUCAGAUGGGUGCCCUCAAGUGAAGUGGAGGUACAAGCUUAGACAAGAAGGUGUUCACAGAAGCUGGAGAAGACAGGUUGUGUCCAUCUUGCUGCUUUGUGUCAUACACAAGGUAUAACUGCUAGAAGGACCUGCCUAGACGUGCUGUGCAAAAGAUGCUGAGGGCAGCUUCUUCAUUAUCAGAUAUUUGGAUCAUCUCCAAAAAACAUCACUUUGACAGCUGGACUCCAUACAUUUUAAACCAUGAGGAAAAUUAAAAAUACAUCCAAUGUUUUCAGUUAUUUUUACUAGUUCUAGUAAACAUUUACAAGUCUGUGCUUUAUGACAUGU